rnacentral:rRNA from 1 species
CCUACGGGUGGCUGCAGUGGGGAAUAUUGGACAAUGGGGGGAACCCUGAUCCAGCCAUGCCGCGUGUGUGAAGAAGGCCCUCGGGUUGUAAAGCACUUUCAGUGAGGAAGAACGCCUGGUGGUUAAUACCCAUCAGGAAAGACAUCACUCACAGAAGAAGCACCGGCUAACUCCGUGCCAGCAGCCGCGGUAAUACGGAGGGUGCGAGCGUUAAUCGGAAUUACUGGGCGUAAAGCGCGCGUAGGUGGCUUGAUAAGCCGGUUGUGAAAGCCCCGGGCUCAACCUGGGAACGGCAUCCGGAACUGUCAAGCUAGAGUGCAGGAGAGGAAGGUAGAACUCCCGGUGUAGCGGUGAAAUGCGUAGAGAUCGGGAGGAAUACCAGUGGCGAAGGCGGCCUUCUGGACUGACACUGACACUGAGGUGCGAAAGCGUGGGUAGCAAACAGGAUUAGAUACCCUUGUAGUC